CUUGGCCCUCCCAUCCAGCACCACAAAGUCUCCAUGUGGUGUGGUUCCCACCUGGCUCUCAGAGAUGGGAUCCCCUUUUUCUGCCAAGUUAUAUUUCAGUGCACUGAUUCUCAGGCUCCUUGAACAAAGAGAGCUCCCAGAUGCUACUGUCUUGCAGCAGUGGCUCACUGUCCUCAUCACUGCCCCAUUCUGGGAUGUUGGUCAGGCUGUCACUGCCACUGCUGCUAUAUUUUUGAACUCCCCUGCCUUUCCUGUAUUCAGGGAU
rnacentral:lncRNA from 1 species